rnacentral:rRNA from 1 species
AGGACGAACGCUGGCGGCGUGCUUAACACAUGCAAGUGGAGCGACGAACCAGGGCUUGCCCUGGGGCAGAGCCGCGAACGGGUGAGUAACACGUGGGUUACCUGCCUUGAUGACCGGGACAACCCGAGGAAACUCGGGCUAAUACCGGAUGUGCCCGCAAGGGGAAAGGAAGCUUCGGCCUCCGCAUCAAGAUGGGCCCGCGGCCCAUUAGCUUGUUGGUGAGGUAACGGCUCACCAAGGCUUCGAUGGGUAGCUGGUCUGAGAGGACGAUCAGCCACACUGGGACUGAGACACGGCCCAGACUCCUACGGGAGGCAGCAGUGGGGAAUCUUGCGCAAUGCGCGAAAGCGUGACGCAGCAACGCCGCGUGGGGGAAGAAGGCUUUCGGGUUGUAAACCCCUUUCAGUUGGGACGAAGCUUCUCCGGUGAAUAGCCGGAUGGAGUGACGGUACCUUCACAAGAAGCACCGGCUAACUACGCGCCAGCAGCCGCGU